rnacentral:rRNA from 1 species
UGGUGAACUAUGCUUGAGCAGAAUGAAGCCAGAGGAAACUCUGGUGGAAGUUCGUAGCGGUGUUGACGUGCAAAUCACUCGUCUGACUUGAGUGUAGGGGCGAAAGACUAAUCGAACCAUCUAGUUGCUGGUUCCUUCCGAAGUUUCCCUCAGGAUAGCUGGCAUUUGUGUGUAACAAUUUUAUCCGGUAGAGCGAAUGAUUAGAGGUGUUGGGAACGCAAUGUUCUCAGCCUAUUCUCAAACUUCGAAUGGGUAAGCAAGGCGAUUUGCUUUGAUCUUUUUAUGAAAUCGCCCCUCCAAUUUGUUGAAGAAUGUAUAAAUGCCUAGUGGGCCAAUUUUGGUAAGCAGAACUGGCGAUGUGGAAUGAACCAAAAGUCAGGUUAAGGUGCCAGACAUUGGCGCUCAUGAAAUACCAGAAAAGGUGUUGGUCGAUAUAGACAGCAGGACGGUGGCCAUGGAAGUCGGAAUCCGCCAAGGAGUGUGUAACAACUCACCUGCCGAAUCGACUAGCCCUGAAAAUGGAUAGCGUUUGAGCGCCAGGCCCAUACCUGACCGUCUCAGCUACGCACUUUUGCUGGUUUCUCCGGUGAAGGUGUAAUGAACGUUGAGACGGGUAGGAAGGUCGCGACAGUGUUGCUUUGAAGAGUUUUGAGCGUGAGCUCGCUCGGAGCCGCUGUUGGUGCAGAUCUUGGUGGUAGUAGCAAAUAUUCAAGUGAGAACCUUGAAGGCUGAAGUGGAGCAAGGUUCCAUGUGAACAGCAGUUGGACAUGGGUCAGUCGAUCCUAAGAAAACGGCGAAAGCUUGUUCGAAUUUACGACAUAAAAUUUAAAACUGUGUAUGCAAAAGAAAGUAGUGUAGUGUUGGUAGCAGCAGCAGCAGUUGUGGUAGUGGUGGUGGUGGUGGUGGUGGUGGUGUGCCGCCGCCGCCGCCGCCGAAACUACUUUUUGCUGCUGUUGCGUUGCUACAAUCUUGGUGUUUUUGUUCUGUGCAGUUGUCGUAUGUUUUCGAAAGGGAAUCCGGUUGAUAUUCCGGAACCGAGUAACGGAGACAAAGAGUAGCGCUUUAAUCUCUUUCGGGUUGGCGUUCAACUCAAUCGCGCGGUAACGCAAGCGAACUCGGAAAAUGACCGUCGUGAGUUUCGAAAAGAGUUUUCUUUUCUUUUUAAGGGACGCAUUCCCUGGAACCGGGUUGUCCGGAGAUAGGGAUUCUGGUAUCCAUAAAACGCCGACUCUUUCACGGUGUUCGGAGCGCUCUCGUCGGUACGUGAAAAUCCGAGCGACGCCUGGUAAAUCUCGUACUUGGUCGUACUGAUAUCCGCAGCAGGUCUCCAAGGUGAAUAGCCUCUGGCCGAUAGAAUAAUGUAGGUAAGGGAAGUCGGCAAAACGGAUCCGUAACUUCGGAACAAGGAUUGGCUCUAAGGGCUGGGCCGAUCGGGCUGAGGUUUCAAGCGUGCAGUGUAUGCUUGGCUGAGUUGUGUUGAGGAUUGAUUCGCUUGGUGCCGUUUGUUGAACCAAUCGGCUAUCCAGGUGGUCAUGUCUGAAGCAAAGCUGGCCGACAGACCGGCACGUGCAGAACCUGAGCUGCGCGGCUGUCAGUUCAUUUGUACAGACCGUUUCGGUCGGCAUUCAACAGCCAACUUAGAACUGGCACGGACACAAGGAAUCUGACUGUAUAAUUAAAACAAAGCAUUGCGAUGGCCGAUGAUCGGUGUUGACGCAAUGUGAUUUCUGCCCAGUGCUCUGUUGGGAAGCCGCGGUUGUUGGCUGAAGACCAACGACAAAACGUUGUCAACAAUCGGGAUCAAAGUCACACGCAGGAUGAAAGAACGCCUUAGCUGGUUGACAUUUGAACAUUCAAUCAGAAUUUACAACACCAUGAGAAACUGAUUGCUCAGUAUGUUCCGUUCAGUUACUGUCUACUUAUCACUGUUAAACAUGUUAACUAUUACUGUUGAUUUAUUGUUACCACGUUCGUUGUUUUCUAAGCACUCUGUUACCAUCGCUUUUACAUUUCAUUAUUACGGUAUUAUUAUUCCUUCUGCCUGCAAUUUCCAUCGUUGUUGCUUUUUUCUUGUUUUUAUUGCUUCGUUGUGCUUGUUUGUUUGUUUGUUAUUGUUCUUGUUUGGCCUAGGAUAUCGAUAAUCACACGCACCGCGGAACUGGACCGUAUAAGCCAGAAAUAUUAAAGUAACAAUAGCCAAAUGCCUAGUCAUUUAAUUAGUGACGCGUAUGAAUGGAUCAACAAGAUUCCUUCUGUCCCUAUCUACUAUCUAGCGAAACCACAGCCAAGGGAACGGGCUUGGCAAAAUCAGCGGGGAAAGAAGACCCUGUUGAGCUUGACUCUAGUCUGACUCUGUGAAGAGACAUGAAAGGUGUAGCAUAGGUGGGAGGCUGCAGUAGGGCGCUGUUUGGUGUCUCUGUGGUCGCCAAUGAAAUACCACUACUUUGAUCGUUUCUUUACUUAUUCGGUAAAGCGAAAAAAUUGUGGCCAAUUUGGCGGUCUGUCCGCUGUUGGUCAUUGUUUUAAUGUUGGAUUGAAGCUUUGUUUAUAGCCGUCGCUUUGCGUCGCCGUUUGAUGCAUUGGCUGGGUGCGUUUUUGCGCGCGCGCGGUAAUGUUGUCAGCGGAUGAUCGGCGAUUGGUUUGAAGUGAUUCGCUCCGGAAACAGUGUCAGACGGGGAGUUUGACUGGGGCGGUACAUCUGUUAAACGAUAACGCAGGUGUCCUAAGGUAAGCUCAGCGAGGACAGAAACCUCGCCUAGAGUAAACGGGCACAAGCUUACUUGAUUUUGAUUUCCAGUACGAAUAAAAACCGCGAAAGCGUGGCCUAUCGAUCCUUUUGAUUGUGUAGAUUUCAUGCAAGAGGUGUCAGAAAAGUUACCACAGGGAUAACUGGCUUGUGGCAGCCAAGCGUCCAUAGCGACGUUGCUUUUUGAUCCUUCGAUGUCGGCUCUUCCUAUCAUUGCGAAGCAGAAUUCGCCAAGCGUUGGAUUGUUCAUUAGACCGUCGUGAGACAGGUUAGUUUUACCCUACUGAUGACAAGUCGUUGCGAUAGUAAUCCUGCUCAGUACGAGAGGAACCGCGGGAUCAGACAUUUGGUUCAUGCGCUCGGCUGAAAGGCCGGUGGCGCGAAGCUAGCAUCUGCAAGAUUAUGACUGAACGCCUCUAAGUCAGAAUCUUUUCUAGUCAUUGGCAACGAUAAGUUGCGUCCGGACUCGAUGCGAGGAAACGAUUAGGCUUUGCUGUGUUUU